rnacentral:lncRNA from 1 species
AAAACCCCUCCCAAAAAACCCCAAAACCUCUCCCACCCCCCAAAAAAAACCAAAUUUCCCCGUUUUUUAGGAACAAGAUCCUGAUUUUCGGGCUGCUGGAGGAGACGGCGCUGGCGGCGUUCCUGUCCUACUGCCCGGGCAUGGGGGUGGCGCUGCGCAUGUACCCCCUCAAGUGAGGGACCCCAAAAUCCUGGCUGCACCCCAAAAUCCCAACCCGCACCCCAAAUCUGGCCUGGAACCCCAAAUUCCAGCCUGAACCCCAAAUCCUGGCUGCACCCCAAAAUCCCUACUCACACCCCAAAUCCAACCUGACCCCUAAAUCCAACCUGAACCCCAAAUUCCAGCCUGAACCCCAAAUUCCCACCUGAACCCCAAAUCCUGGCUGCACCCCAAAAUCCCUACUCACACCCCAAAUCCAACCUGACCCCUAAAUCCAGCCUGAACCCCAAAUUCCUUCCGCACCCCAAAUCCAGCCUGAACCCCAAAUNGAGAAGAGGGGGUUGCUAUGGGGAUGCGGUUGCUAUGGGGAUGGGGUUGCUAUGGGGAUGUGGUUGCUAUGGGGAUGUGGUUGCUAUGGGGAUGCCCCCCCCCCCCCCCCCCCCCCCCCCCCCCCCCCCCCCGGUUGCUAUGGGGAUGUGGUUGCUAUGGGAGGUGAUUGCUAUGGGAGGUGGUUGCUAUGGGGACAGAAUGCCAAGAGGAGGGGGUUGCUAUGGGGAUGUGGUUGCUAUGGGAGGUGGUUGCUAUGGGAUGUGGUUGCUAUGGGGAUGUGGUUGCUAUGGGAGGUGAUUGCUAUGGGAGGUGGUUGCUAUGGGGACAGAAUGCCAAGAGGAGGGGGUUGCUAUGGGGAUGUGGUUGCUAUGGGAGGUGGUUGCUAUGGGAUGUGGUUGCUAUGGGAGGUGGUUGCUAUGUGUGGUGGUUGCUAUGGGUGGUGGUUGCUAUGGGAUGUGGUUGCCAUUGGGAUGUGGUUUCUAUGGGGACACGGUUCCCAUGAGGAGGUUGCUAUGGGGAUGUGGUUGCUAUGGGAGGUGAUUGCUAUGGGAGGUGGUUGCUAUGGGGACAGAAUGCCAAGAGGAGGGGGUUGCUAUGGGGAUGUGGUUGCUAUGGGAGGUGGUUGCUAUGGGAUGUGGUUGCUAUGGGAGGUGGUUGCUAUGUGUGGUGGUUGCUAUGGGUGGUGGUUGCUAUGGGAUGUGGUUGCCAUUGGGAUGUGGUUUCUAUGGGGACACGGUUCCCACGAGGAUGUGGUUGCUAUGGGGAUGUGGUUACUAUGGGGUGCUGCCAUGGGGACCAGUUGCCAUGGGGACUGGUUGCCAUGGGGACAGAGUUUCCAUGGAGAGAUGGUUGCCAUGGGGACAGUUUGAAGUGAGGAUGUGGUUGCCAUGGGGACUGGUUGCCAUGGGGGUGUGGCUGCUCUGGGCAUGUGAUGAUUAUGGGGAUUGCCAUGGGGACUGGUUGCCAUGGGGAUGUGGCUGCUCUGGGCAUGUGAUGAUUAUGGGGAGGCGGUUGUCAUGGCAACGUGGUUGCCAUGGGGAGAUGGUUCCCAUAGGUGUUGGUUGCCAUGGGGAGAUGGUUGCUAUGAGAAUGGGGUUGCUAUGGGGAUUUGGUUGCUAUGGGGAUGUGGUUGCCAUGGGUGAUGGUUACCAUGGGGAUCCGGUUGCCAUGGGGAUCCUGUUGCCAUGCCCCCCCCCCCCCCCCCCCCCCCCCCCCCCCCCCCCCCCCCCCCCCCCCCCCCCCCCCCCCCCCCCCCCCCCCCCCCCCCCCCCCCCCC